rnacentral:rRNA from 1 species
AUUGAACGCUGGCGGCAUGCUUUACACAUGCAAGUCGAACGGCAGCGCGGGCUUCGGCCUGGCGGCGAGUGGCGAACGGGUGAGUAAUGCAUCGGAACGUGCCCAGUAGUGGGGGAUAGCCCGGCGAAAGCCGGAUUAAUACCGCAUACGACCUGAGGGUGAAAGCGGGGGACCGAAAGGCCUCGCGCUAUUGGAGCGGCCGAUGUCGGAUUAGCUAGUUGGUGGGGUAAAGGCUUACCAAGGCGACGAUCCGUAGCUGGUCUGAGAGGGCGACCAGCCAAACGUGGACUGAGACACGGCCCAGACUCCUAAGGGAGGCAGGAGUGGGGAAUUUUCGGAAAUGGGGGGAAACCUGAUCCAGCCAAGCCGCGUUGGGGAAGAAGGGCUUCGGGUUGUAAAACCCUUUUUGUCGGGAAGAAAAUCUUUUGGGUUAAAACCCCGGGGGAUGACGGUACCGGAAGAAUAAGCACCGGCUAACUACGUG